UGGGGAAUAUUGCACAAUGGGCGCAAGCCUGAUGCAGCGACGCCGCGUGAGGGAUGACGGCCUUCGGGUUGUAAACCUCUUUCAGUAGGGAAGAAGCGAAAGUGACGGUACCUGCAGAAGAAGCACCGGCUAACUACGUGCCAGCAGCCGCGGUAAUACGUAGGGUGCGAGCGUUAUCCGGAAUUAUUGGGCGUAAAGAGCUCGUAGGCGGUUUGUCGCGUCUGUCGUGAAAGUCCGGGGCUUAACCCCGGAUCUGCGGUGGGUACGGGCAGACUAGAGUGCAGUAGGGGAGACUGGAAUUCCUGGUGUAGCGGUGGAAUGCGCAGAUAUCAGGAGGAACACCGAUGGCGAAGGCAGGUCUCUGGGCUGUAACUGACGCUGAGGAGCGAAAGCCUGGGGAGCGAACAGG
rnacentral:rRNA from 1 species